UCCUGGCUCUGUUGAUGUCUAU
rnacentral:miRNA from 15 species